UAGGGAAUCUUCCGCAAUGGACGCAAGUCUGACAGAGCAACGCCGCGUGAGUGAAGAAGGAUUUCGGUUCGUAAAACUCUGUUGUUAGAGAAGAACAGCGCAUAGAGUAACUGUUAUGCGUGUGACGGUAUCUAACCAGAAAGCCACGGCUAACUACGUGCCAGCAGCCGCGGUAAUACGUAGGUGGCAAGCGUUGUCCGGAUUUAUUGGGCGUAAAGCGAGCGCAGGCGGUCAAUUAAGUCUGAUGUGAAAGCCCCCGGCUCAACCGGGGAGGGUCAUUGGAAACUGGUUGACGUGAGUGCAGAAGAGGGGAGUGGAAUUCCAUGUGUAGCGGUGAAAUGCGUAGAUAUAUGGAGGAACACCAGUGGCGAAGGCGACUCUCUGGUCUGUAACUGACGCUGAGGCUCGAAAGCGUGGGUAGCAAACAGG
rnacentral:rRNA from 1 species